rnacentral:lncRNA from 1 species
GCAUCAGAGCUGGAUCAGACCUUCUGCUUUUGAAGGCACUUCAAACUGUAGGCAAAGCCACCUUUCUUUCUCUUUUCUUUCUUUUCUUUUCUUUCUUUCUUUCUUUCUUUCUUUCUUUCUUUCUUUCUUUCUUUCUUUCAUCUGGUGAAUGAUUAAAGUUGAUGUUGUGCUUGAUGAGCUUGCUGCUGAUCCUCCAGAAUAUUUGAGUUGCAUGAACCUUAGGAGUCAUCUUGUUCAAUCCUCUCCUAUUUUACAGCAUCUCUUCACAGUCAGAAUCAACGCCUUGAUGUCUCAGGAAAGUCUCUAUUUGGAUGUCCCUUGAACUGAACUGGACGUGUGUAAGCAAAGAAAUUUGUUAGAACCUGCAGCUAAGGAGAGUUUGGCCUUCCCUGAAAUACCUAAGCUGCCCAAGACAGAUUUAAGCAGCACAAAGGAAGAAGAGAUUUCUUCAAUGAGAAUCCCAGAGGCCACACAUCAGAGAUGAAUGACAGAUUUGAAAUAAAAGAACAAUAACUCAUCACAGCCAAGGAGGUGUAAAAGCACCUGUUUCUGCAGUAUUGGCCCUCAGGGUGUUGUGGAAUUAUAAGGAGGAAGGACCUCUUUCUUGGUAUGCUGGUUCAAUUCUAAAACCUCACCAAGAUGCCUGCUUUUAGCUGGAGCAGACCAGUGCACAGCCAACCAGGUCUUCCUCCAAGAAGAACUAAAAAAGUGAACAGCUAGAUUGAAUCAUUCUUUCUCUCCUGUCCCUCUCCCUCUCCUGCCGCCUCUCCCUCUCUGAAGAUGUCACUGAGAUUGCAAGCCACUAAGGACUUCAGGGUCAAAUUGCUGGAAAGAAAAGAAGUAAAGUGAGUGAGUGAAUGAGUGCAAUUUUCUGAGCUGCUUUUCCCAAGACAUUGGUCAAUUUUUAACUGAUGGCAAAGACGGAAAAGUCUGACACAGCUUUGUCUGCUUUGUGGUAUUUGGAAGACAAAAAAUGGAUUUCAGAAAUCAAAAUCCAAGACUUCAGUUAGGACUCCUGAGAUUUACUCCUUAAUAGUAAUCCAGAAACAGAGACAACAGAGCCCACACAGAGACAAAAUUCAGCUUUUUAAGUAGCUCAAUUUCAGCCCUGGUUAAGUUGAAUUUCCUUUACCCCGACUGCUUGUAAGAGAAGAAUUUUUCAUGCAACAUUACUUAUCAUUGAAUUACAAAUUUACUGCACUAUAGGAAACAAGGAAAAGUGACUAAUAAGGAAAAUGUCUGCAUAUUGGAAUUAUCAAAUACUUACCCUGUGUGAGCUUCUUAGUAUCCUGGUGUCUCAGUCUCUCUAAGAUCUGUGAUGUGUUGAAGGUGAUGGGACAAUUUACAUAAUUAUGUAUGCUAAUAUAGGAAGAGAAUUUUUCUUCUACCUCCUCCAGUCCUUUGAUAUAUCUUAAUAGUACUCCUAAGCAAAUAAAUACUUUUAUAGAAUAAAAGGGAUGAUGCAAAUUUCAGAUUAAGUAAGAGAGAAGAAUUUUAUAAAAUGACAAUAUGAAAGAGCAAUAUUUGGGGGACAGGAAAGGCACUUUGGGGAUCCUAUUAUAGCUUAAUGUAGACACCUACUGAGCUGAUUACACAGAUGGUAAAUUGUUAUCAAACAUAAUUCAACACUGGCCUGUCUGAUUUUGUUGCUGUUUGAGCUUCAGACUGUGACUGCUCUCAAGUCUGAGGCUUUCUUCUGUAUUUCAUGCAGUUCUAUUGCUUUAAAACACUGAUGAGCUAUGAAGUGCUUUCCUUGCAGCAGCUGUAAAUCUAUAGGCCUGCCACAGCCAAUCUCAGCUCCACCAGGGCAUGAGUGCUGGCAUAAGGAAUGCAGAUUAAUUUUUGUUAGCUGUGCUUAGAUGAAGACAGAUCUUGCUCAAGAAAUUUAGGGAUCUGAAAAGAUGAAAAGCACAGAGAUCUUGGAUUGGGUAUUUUUUUUUUAGAGAAAAAAGACAUAGCAUAAAAUAAUAUUUCUAGGUAUAGUAAAGGAAGACAGGAGACCUGCUGCGUGUGUGUGUGUGUGUGUGUGUGUGUGUGUGUGUUAUAGUAUGAAAAGGUAUAAAAAAGUGAGGGAAAAUAAAUUCAGUUUGAAGAUUGAAUGGUCAGACCCAAUAGAGCUGCUGUUCUGUCAGUGUUGACAUUAUAAAUCCCCAUCUCUGAGUGUUUAUAAAAUCCAGUUAGACCUGAAACAAAAAUACCCUAGAAUCUAGCCAGCAAGCAAUUUCAAAAAAAAUUGAAUAAUAUACCUCAAUCACUUCUAACUUUAGGCUUUGCAAAUUGCUCCACCAUCAAACCUCCUGAAAGUGCCCAACCUCAUUUGACCUGAGAUUGAAGUUGAUUUCUUUCAGAUACAUUUUUGGUUUAUAUAAGUGUGGAAAAAUGCUCUUCAAAGAUACUUUAAUUUAGAUAAAUGUAGAAAUUAAGCUUCAUCAUAACUUCAGGGGUAUUAUCAGUAUAAUAGAUUUACUAUGUGUAUUGCUUGAAUUAAGCAGUUCUGGUAAAUACUUUAUAAGCACUGAAUUUCACUUAAGUAAUGCUCAGCAUUUUAAAGGCUUGCCUGAAACUGAGGCACUACACUGAGAUUCAGUAGAUGAUGGUAACAGAACAAUGGUCUCAGUACUGGUGCAGAGGCCGGCACAACAUAAUUGUUCAGGUACUGUUUACUGAAUCGAUGAAACUUGCCUUUGUCCAGCAUUGCUGAAUAAAUGUUUCAGUGUUUUAUUGAUUUUGCUUGGGAGACAGAGAAAAGAAAAAAAUUGGGAAAAGCUGAUAGAAUGGAUACAGAAGGUACAGUAAAACAAAAAAUGAGAAAGAUAAAGUGGAGAAAGAGAAAAGAAUACAUAGGUGAUCCAGAAACAGUCUCACAUCAAGAUCAACAACUUAUUAAGUGGACAUAGACAUAAGUAUAAUCAAGACCACACAUUUAAUCAUUCAUUUAACAAAUAGUCAUUGAGCACCCAAUGCACUCCAGGAACUUUUCUAAGUGCUAGGGUUAUAAUGGUGAACCAAAUGGUUAAAAAUUUCUUCCUGUGAACCAAUGUAUCCAUUGGUGAAUGAAUGGACAAGCAAAAUAUGGUCCUUACAUAUAAUGGAGUAUUGUUUAGUUUUAACAAGGAAGCAAAUUCUGACAUAUUUUACAACAUAGAUAAGUCAUGAAGACAUCACACUAAGUUAAAUAAGCCAACCCCUUACAUGAAAUACACAGAGACAGAUGGUAGAGAGAUAGUUUGCUACUAGAAGGAGGGGAGAUUGGAAUUAUUGUUAAGGGAUGUAGAUGUUCAGUUUUGCAAGAUGAAAGAAUUUUGGAAAUGGAUGCACAACAACAUGAAUGUAUUUAACAUCUUUGAACUGUUGCAAACAUGUUCUAAUAAAAAAUUUUAGAAAUAGUUAAGAUGGUAAAUUGUAUGUAUAUUUUACAACAAUAAAAAUUGAAAAUUCCUGCUCCUGUAAAAUUACUGUUUGGUAAAACUGAUAACAUUUUCCUAGAUUAUAAACACCUGUAGAUCUUAGAAAGUAUAGUUGAUAAAUUUAAAAUUGUUUUUCACUCUUAAAGGAGAAAUAGAGAUAAAAAUUUUUGCAUUUAAAAAAUAGUACAAAUUUUAGUAUUUAUGAGUCAGUGUAAUUCCUGUCAUUCUUUGACAAUAAAUCUUCUCUUGGGUUCUUUUAAAUGUGUUUCAUUGAAAAGGGAACAAAGAAACUAUCAGGUAGCAGGCGUGGAAACCACAGUAAAAAGAAUUUACCUUGUACCCAGAAUCUGAAGUUUUGUAAGACUGAGCCCUUAAUCUGUGGUAUCGAAGAUAAGACCAGGAAGUUUGUGUCAGAGUUGAAUACAAUUGUAGGCAUUUAGUUAGUGUCUGGAGAGUUAGAUAAUUAAUAGGUCUAAGGAAAACCACUGCACUUUAGUGCAACAAGCAAUGUAUAAUAUUGGAAAAACCAAAGCCAAGAAUUCAAACUGCCAAGACUCACAAGGGACAGCAAAGUCCACAGCUGAAACCAAAAAUUGACAAGGAUGAGAGUAAUUUAUGGGUUCUGAUUUGCUCAUUGUGGAAAAUUCCUCUCCAAGGAAUUUUACUAUGUUCAUCUCAGUGGGUCCUCCUCAAGCUGAGUUAUUUUUCCUUUUGUCCUGUUCUCUGUUUUGAAGAUCGGUGAUGAUUUCUGUAGACCAUCUGCACCCUCUGAUUAUUCACGACAUUGCAGGAUAGUUCCUGAACUUGCUAGGGCUGAAUCUGUGAGGCUAUAGCUUAGAACUCUACAUUUUCAUCAAGCCAUUCUCAUGAUUAGGAAUCACCACAAAAUUAGGUGUUCUUGAGUAUAUUUGGGGAACAAAAAUGUCCCCUAUUUCUGUCAAAUGAAACUGAGCCUAGGAUUCAUGACCCUAAUUUAACCUGAAGCAAAGUUAUUACUUUGCACCAGAUAUCUGCAACUAGGAUCAGUUUAUCUACUGGCUUGAUUGCCACAGAUCAAAAUGUUACCUGGCAAUUAUAAAUGACAACUAUUACCUUCACAAAGUAUAUGUUAUCCACUGCAAAAAAUGUAUGUUGCUUCAAAAUCCUGCUGAUAUUUCUUGACAUAUAGGCAUGCAAACAAGGUUUGUUAUUGUAUCUUUACAGCUUCCAUAUUUAGUGCAUGUAGAUAAAAUAACUAUAGUGAUGGGAAACACCAUGUUCCCAGAACACUUUCUGGAAAAACAAUAACGAAACUAAUUUGUUUCAGGCUGACAUAAGCCUUAAACUUAAUAGAUGAAUGGUUUCAGAAAAUUCUCCUGGUCUACAUGUUCAAUCAUAUGCUUUCUUUUUAUUUUUUUUUAAUUCCUUAAGCAUUUUCUGUCCAUGCUGCUCAUUUAAUAUUUGAACAGUUACAGCCUUGUAUCCUCAGACAGCUUGCUAUAUCUCACCACUCAAUCUGAUUUCUAGCAGGAGAUACUAGUAUUACAUAGCUGAGUAAGAUUGCUCCUUUUCUUAAAUGAAUAAGGCUAUGGGGCUCUUUGAGAAUUAGAUAGUGCUGGCAUUUUAUAUGUUUCCACAACCUUGAACGCUAUGUCUGAUAUUUAAAUAGGUUUGCAAGAAGCGCUUUUUAAUUGAUAUGAAACAAGAGCUUUGAAGAUUGUCUGGAAAUCAUGGACUUAAUGGAUACGGGAGACAUAGCAUCACUCCAGUAGCAUAUUCUUGAGAGUUGUAAGGGACAAGGAGCUACUCUCUACUACCUAAAAAGUGAACUUUUAGACCAUAAUGUUAAUGAAAUAAAUCAGACUCACAAGCUUAAACAUCACAUGGUUUCUCCUAUAUGAGAAACCCAAAGUAUAAAUAAAUUAUAAGGCAAAGUAAAAGUACAUAAUAUGAAGUAGGGAAAUAAACCUUUUGUAAAAGGGAAGAGAACCAAGAGAAGGAAGGAGCAGGGAGUGAGGGGAGAAGAAGGGCUCAAAAAAGAAUUGAUGUGUUACAUACAUCUGCCAGCUCCCCAUAAGAAAUGUAAUCAUUACAUACUGCAAAAGGGUAGUAACAAAAUACAAAUUAAAAUUUAAAACAAACAACAAAAAAAGAAAGAAAAUAAUAAACAAGUGAACAAGCUUCUUAGGGGUGAGGAAUUCACCCAGGAUAGGUUAUAGUCUCUUUCUAAAAAAUUCUAUUACUCAGACAUCUCUUUCACAAUUAAGGAGUUUCUUGGUAUCAAGAAGGAGUCCUGCUGGGUAUGGUGGCGCACACCUGUUAUCCCAGCACCUGGGAGGCUGAGGCAGGAGGAUCACAGUAAGUUCAAGGCCAGCCUGGGCUACAUAGGGAGACCAUGCCUCAAAAAACAAACAAAAAAACAACAACAAAAAAGAAGGAGUCUAAAAUAAUAAAUCCUGUCAUUUACAAUAUUAGACUGUGGUAGCAGCAGCUGAGCAGCUGUAAGUUCAAUAAGAAGUUUCAGGGUUUGAUAUUGGGUAGUUUCACUUCUCUAUUUUGUAUUAUAGAUAAUAUUAUAUAUAUUUUAUAUAUUAUAUGCAUAAUCAAAAUGUUAUGUAAUUUAAUUAUAUAGCACAUUUGCGUAUUAUGUUCAUUUUAGCUAAGUUAAAUUUAUAGUGUUUCCACUGCUUAGAACUAUUACUCAGUUUUUGAAUUAUUUUUUCACUACAGUAUUAGAAAAAGGCAAAGACCAAUUGAGCAGAAGAGGAACGCAGGAGAAACCAACUUGGAUGCUCUCAUUUUUUUCAGUAUAAAUACCAACCAGUCUGUGCAUCAGCAAAAGUGAAAGAUUUAAUUUCUUUAAAAUUAACAAAAGGUAAUUCUGGAAAUCUUAUUUGAAGAAGAAUUCUCAAAAUUACUUACUUAUCUUGAUGGAGAAAUAAAGAUUGUGUGUAUUUCUUGUGUAAAACACAAUAUGUUGAUAAAUGGUGGUUACUGUGGAAGGACUCAGUUUGAGCUACUUAGAAGACUCAUUACCUCAUAUACUUAUCUUUUUAUUUUUGUGGUGAGAACACUUAAAAUCUACUCACAGCUUUUUCUAGAAUACAAUAUAUAACACACUGUUAUUAACUAUAGUCACCAUGUUGUACAAUAGAUUUCUUGAAAUUAUUUCCUUCUUUUUUAAUAGUACAUGUUUGCAGUAUAUAAUGAUUUCAUUCCUUGUAGGGAGUUGGUAAAUGAUAACUCCCUUUCCUAUGUGAGAAAGAUCUAUCUCCCAACUUCCUAUUCUCUGUCUGUUAUUUUUUGAUCAAGAUCUCCAUAACCUUCCACGCUAAUCUACUCCAGCCUCUGGUAACCAUACAACCUACUCUAUAUUUCUAUGAGAUCAACUUUUUUUAGAUUAUACAUGUGUAAGGUUAUGAGACAUUUAUUUUUCUGUAUCUGGAUAAUUUAGCAUAUCUUCCAGAUCUGUCCAUUUUAUUUUGUUUUCUUUUUUCCUUUCUCCUCCUCCUCCUCCUCCUUUUUGUAAUAGUAGGAAUCAAAGUUAGGGGUGCUCUACCACUUUGUGACAUCCUCAGGCCUUUUUUUGUCUCAAGGUCUUGCUAAGUUACCCAGGUUAGCCUUGAACUUGAAUUUGUGAUCCUCUUGCCUCAGACUCCCAAGUCUUUGGGAUUAAAGACAUGUGCCACAAUGCACCGCAAGAUUUUCUUUUCCUUCUGUUAUGGCAGAAUAGUAUUCCAUUAUGUAAUUGUGCCAGAUUCUCUUUAUCCACUCAUCUAUUCACGGACACUUAGACUUAUUCCAUAUCUUGGCUACUGUGAACAUGAUGCAAUGAACAUAAAAAUUAAUAUUUUUUCAUUAAGUUUAUUGGUACAUUUUAGGGUUACAAUACAGUUACAUUCAUCAUUGGGAUAUUGGGAUCUUGUACCUUUACAUGAGUAUCUUGGUUCUUAUUUUUUUCCCUUCCUUUGCCCUCCCUUCACCCCCCUCCUUCCCUUUGUUUCCAUUUUUGUCUUUUCUCAUAUUUUUUCUUUUUCUUUCUUUCCUUUCCCCUACCCCUCCCACUUCCCCUGUUCCUUUAGACUUUUUCUUCCUAUUUCACAUUAUCAAUUAUACACUUUGAUUCUUAUUUACACUUUUAACUUUUCACACCAGAGAAACUAUUCAGUAUUUACACAUGUGUGUCCUAUUUAUUUCACUUAAGAGUAUGGCCUUAAUGUGCAUCCAUUUAGCUAUAAAUGUCUCUAGUUUCUCAUUCUUUAUGGCUGAAUUGUGCUCCAUUUUAUAUUUUUAAAAACCCCACAUCUUCUUUAUCCAGUCUCCAGUUGAUGGGCAGUAGGGCAAAAAUUAAUAUUUAAAGUGAUAUGCUUAUUACAAGCACUCCUCUUUUUUUGUCUUCAUUCAUUCAUUCUUGCUCUUUUUCAUACCUUUGUCUGUUAGCAAUAACUAUUAUUUGAAAAUCUUAUGGCAGGUAGUGGCUAAUGUAAAUUAUGUCAUCUACUUAAUCUUCAAAACUAUCCUGUGUCUAGAGAUAGAAAGAUAAUAAAAUGAAAUGUAGAAAAGUACAGAAAUAGGAUUCUCCUGAAGUCAGAGCUCAGGUGAUCUAAAUCCAGACUACCUGAACACAAUAUAACUGGGCUUGAAUAAGGAGUGUGUGGGGAGAACGAGGGAGUGGGGAGUUCCUAUGUAACUUUAGCUUUGGCACAAUUUGGGGAUGGGGUUAGGAUAAUAGGGGGACACUGUAGAAAUGUGUCUCUACUGGGGUAAUGUAGGGAAAGAGGAUUCUUUUACAUUUAACUCAACUGCCUUUACAAAUACUCAUUACCUACUCAAAGACUUACAUAAUCAGACUGUAAGCUUUCUGAAGGCAAGCUUAGUCUGAUAUUUAUGAUUGCUCCUUUAGCAUCUAGCAAAGGAGGAUGCUGGAUUCAUAUGAUAAGGACCCUGUCAAUAGUGACUAGGUAACAGAUAUGAAAAGGAAACAGUUAUACUCCAAUUUUCAUUGCUAGGGAAGUGUUUCCUUUGAUGUGCUUCUGCCCACAGGGUUAAGAAACAGAAUAACCUUUGAUCGGAAGAGAAUUAUCUACCUAGCAUCCUUACAAGAGCUAAGCUAUGAGAAAGGGAUGGAUUAUUAGCAGCUUUAAAUACAGGAAAGAGAAAAGGAAACUAUUCUGUGAUUUGUUUGCAUCUUCAAAUGUUCCUAAUGCGAGGUCUGUUUUAAUCUGUGAAAGGUCACAACUCAAAUGUUCCUAAGUCAGGAACUAUUUGCCAGCAUAGUGACUAUAGACAGCAAUAAAGUAUUCACAUUUCAAAACUAGAAGAAAGGAUUUUGAACCUUUUGAUCAUAAAAAGUUAUAAAUGUUUGAGGAAACAAAUGUGUUUAACCUGGUUUAACCAUUAUGCAAUGUAUGCAUGUAUUCGUUACAUGGUAACCCAUCAUGUACAACUUUUAUGUUUUUAUAUAUCAGUUGAAAAAUAAAUUUUAAAAACCCUGAAAUUCAUUUCAUCACAAUUCUGAAGGAUAUAAGCCCAACCUUGUUGGCAGGGUUGGUUUUGUACCGAGUCUUCUGUCCUUGGUUUGCAGAUGUCUGAAUUCCAUCUUCUCAUGAUCUCCCUUCUGUAUCCCAAUCUUUUCUGCUUAUGAGGGCACCCAUUAGUGCCCAUGCAUAUUACUUCAUUUUACCUUAAUCACCCAUUUAAAGGACCUUUCUUUGGGUAUGUCACUUUCUGAUCCCUGAGAGUUAGGACUUCAGCAUAUGAAUUUGGGAGAAAUAAUUUUCUUCACAGACAUAAUGAUUAUAUUUCCUGCUUUGCUCAGCACAACGUAUGUCUUAUACCUGGUAUUCCAGUAUAAAUAUGAAUAAACUUGCUCCAAAAUCUCCUAGUUUAGAUGACAAAUUUAUG